GGAGCAGCCCAGAGCCUGAAUCAGUGUGUGUGUUAGUGGAAGCGUCUGGAAAGGCGCGCGAUACAGGGUGACAGCCCCGUACACAAAAAUGCACAUACUGUGAGCUCGAUGAGUAGGGCGGGACACGUGGUAUCCUGUCUGAAUAUGGGGGGACCAUCCUCCAAGGCUAAAUACUCCUGACUGACCGAUAGUGAACCAGUACCGUGAGGGAAAGGCGAAAAGAACCCCGGCGAGGGGAGUGAAAAAGAACCUGAAACCGUGUACGUACAAGCAGUGGGAGCACGCUUAGGCGUGUGACUGCGUACCUUUUGUAUAAUGGGUCAGCGACUUAUAUUCUGUAGCAAGGUUAACCGAAUAGGGGAGCCGAAGGGAAACCGAGUCUUAACUGGGCGUUAAGUUGCAGGGUAUAGACCCGAAACCCGGUGAUCUAGCCAUGGGCAGGUUGAAGGUUGGGUAACACUAACUGGAGGACCGAACCGACUAAUGUUGAAAAAUUAGCGGAUGACUUGUGGCUGGGGGUGAAAGGCCAAUCAAACCGGGAGAUAGCUGGUUCUCCCCGAAAGCUAUUUAGGUAGCGCCUCGUGAAUUCAUCUCCGGGGGUAGAGCACUGUUUCGGCAAGGGGGUCAUCCCGACUUACCAACCCGAUGCAAACUGCGAAUACCGGAGAAUGUUAUCACGGGAGACACACGGCGGGUGCUAACGUCCGUCGUGAAGAGGGAAACAACCCAGACCGCCAGCUAAGGUCCCAAAGUCAUGGUUAAGUGGGAAACGAUGUGGGAAGGCCCAGACAGCCAGGAUGUUGGCUUAGAAGCAGCCAUCAUUUAAAGAAAGCGUAAUAGCUCACUGGUCGAGUCGGCCUGCGCGGAAGAUGUAACGGGGCUAAACCAUGCACCGAAGCUGCGGCAGCGACGCUUAUGCGUUGUUGGGUA
rnacentral:rRNA from 1 species